rnacentral:lncRNA from 1 species
UUAAAUGGAAGUGGUCAAGUGAAAGUGCCCAGCCACUACCUGCCCACGCAGAUGCUGGCGCCGCCACCUCCCCCCGGCAUGCCCCGCUUGGCCGUCUCUCCUGACACCAAAUCCACCACGACAACUACCGAGGGAGGGACGACCUCACCGACAUCACCCACCUACUCUGCACCAGGCACGCCCCCUGCGAACCGUUCCUUCGUGGGAUUAGGACCAAGGGAUCCUGGGAGUAUCUAUCAGGCACAGUCCUGGUACCUGGGAUAACCGCCGCCGUGCCGCCCCUUCGCCUCCCUUCUCCUCUGCUUUAGGCACCCCCAGAGGAACAUCCCCGUCCCCGAGCACCAGGCCCAGCCUUGCGGUGACGACGGAGAGCGCGGACUCACGACGACGACGACGACGACAAGCAAAACCCACACCCGAAGAAAAGAGCGAGGGAAAGGAAGAAGGAAAAGGAUCAAACUUUUUUAAAAAGGAAAAAAAAAAAUACAAACAAAACAACAACCCAUCCCAGGAGGACCUUCCCCCCCCACCCCGGCGAUGCGCCAGAAAACAAAGAAACAGAAAAAAAAAGAAAAAAAAACACUAUUAUUUGCCCCGUCGGCCGGCGCCACGCCGAGACCUGACACAACUCGUGCCAGCGAUGCCUCCCGGAGCAGCAGCGGGGCUGCGGCACCAGAGCCCUGCCGGCUGCUCGCCGGAGGGUCGGAUAUGCAAACGGCUCUUGACUCUCUCAUUCUUGCCUCUAUGUGAGUAGAAAAGAUCAAACCCCCCCCACCGCCCCUCCCGGCCCCACGCAGACUCUCGGGGGGCCCCGGGGCCAGGGUGGGGCGUGGCGGGGUGGGGGGGACACCUCCUGCCGCCGGUUCCCAACGGCUGCGGCCAUGCUCGCCGUCGGGGCGAUGUGAUGCUCCGUGUGGUGAAAGAGGAGCCCUGGGGACGGGCGACGCUGUGCUUCGGUGACACGGUGCCGUGGUGCUGCGGUGACGUGGUGAUGAGGUGGCCCAAUGGCCCGGUGGCCAGCUCGGCUUGGUACGAGCAGGUGUCACAGCAGGAGGGGGGUGGGGGCUGCGGAGGGUGCGAGGCAACGGGUGGAGAUGGUCACGGCGGCGGUGGCACCCCGAUUGCUGCGGGGACGCGGCGUGGGGACGCUCCCACCACGGCCCCAGCAGGACCCGGGCUGCCACCGUCAUGCCGGGACACCGGUCACCAUGUCUCUGCGAUGCCUUCCUCACCCCCCGGCGUGCACCGGCCCCGGCCCCACGUGUCCCCAUGUGUGUCCCUGUGUCCCCCUGCGUGUCCCCGCGCCGGGGGGGUCCGUGGGGCUGUGGUGUGGCGUGCGUCCGUGUGUCUGAGCUAUGCAUUCCUGUGGACAGGUACCAGGUGGAUGGCGAGGAGAGGGUGCGCUCGUGUUGCACAUUUUGUAGGAAAUGCACUUUUUAAGAGGGAAUCGUCAAAAAAAAAAAAAAGAAAAAGAAGAAAAGAAAAAAAAAAUCACAAAAAAGGAGGAGGAGGAGGAGGAGGAAGAGGAGGAGGAGACGGAGCCCCCGGCACUGGCUUGCCGGGAUGGCUGNCCCACGGAGCCCCUGGCCCCGCGUCAAGUGCCUCAACUGCGGCGGGGAGGGGUCCUGGGACCCCCGGAGGAGCCCCUGGCCAGGGGCAGCGCUGGAGGAAGCCCCCGGCUGUCCCCGUCCCGUGUGAUGGCAGCGUGGCCGGGAAGGGGACACGGGGACGUGGCAGUGCCUUAGAGCAGAAGGACCUACACGGCGGCUGAGGCGAGGAGGAGGAGGAAGAUGACGAAGGCACCCAGCGUCUCCAGCGAGAUGGUGGCGGCCACAGAGGAGGCUGGUCCCAGGCGUGUCCCCAAAGGGACCCCAGGGAGCCCACGCCCCAGGGGACACCCCACGGGUGAUGACAGAGAGAAGCCACCGUGGGAUGUCCGGCAGCAGGGGAUGUCACUGAGGUCACCACCACCACCCACCUGGCCCCCUCCCCUGGCACCCUGAGCUGCCCUGUGGACCACUGGAGUCGCAUCCCCCAUCCCACCGGCCCCUCACUCCGCCACGCUUCCCACCCCCCCGGGAUGGCACAGCCCGUGGCGCGGGACCGGGGAAAGNCCCCGUGGACCACUGGAGUCGCAUCCCCCAUCCCACCGGCCCCUCACUCCGCCACGCUUCCCACCCCCCCGGGAUGGCACAGCCCGUGGCGCGGGACCGGGGAAAGGGCUGACGCAGGAAAUCCCGGGAGACAGAAAAAAUAAUCAAAAAGGACAAGAAAAGGAGAAAACCCACAAAAAAAAGGAAAAAAAAAAAAAAAAAAAAAAAAAAAAAAANAAAGACAAAUAAACUGCAUGGUGCUUUAACAGGAUCUGGUGACCUGGCUCAACCCAGCCGCGGAUGGCUGAUGCUGUGCAUGGCAGACUGUAUUAACCGGCUCUACCUUCCCCCUUCAGCAAAAGAGAAAAAAAAAAGAGGAAAAAAACAAAAAAAUUCUGUAUAAAAGAAAAAAAAAGCCGUAAAAAAAAAAAAACACAAGAAAAAAAAAAUCCAUGUUUUCCUAAUUUGCACGAAAUUUUAUACCACAUGAUGUGCCUUGCCUUCGAAGACUAAGUAUUACCGGACCCGAUAUCAGUGCGAGGGAGUCGCUGCAUGCCCGGGGCUCCCGGGGGGCCGGGGGGGCCGGGGGCGGCUGCCCCCUCCCUCGCCUCCUGCAUGGCUUCUUCUCGGCCGGAAAAAAUCCCUUUUCUCUCUAUUAUUAUCAUUUUUUAACCAAUUUUCCCCCUCGGAAAUGUCUUCCAGUUGGUAAUACUGAUGCAUCCUCUGCGCCAACACACCGGAAUAUGCAAUAGCCGCUCGGCUGCACCGGCGAGGGGGGGUCCGGCCAGUGGGGUCCGGUGGGGGGGUCCGGCCACCCCUUUGCUUUGCCUCUCUCUUUUUUUUUUUUUUUUUUUUUUUUNNNNNNNNNNNNCCCACCAGGGUCAGAGCCCCCCCCUUAGCGCUCGGGAGAACCCAGGGCUCCGGGCGCGGCAGGACGGACGAGGACACGGUCGGGGUCCCCGUGGGGAGGACCAGGAGUGGAGACCCCCAUGGCCGAGCCGUCACAAGGGGCCACAGCAUCGCACACCCCCCUCCUUGGGGGCUGCCCCCCCCCACCCCCUUUUUAAUUAGUUUUCAAUGGCACGCAGGGCCGGGAGGGCUGAGCCUAGCUGCUCUCGUGACAGGAAUGGAACCGUGUGAAUGUAGCUGUGCCCCCCCCCCAGGGCUGGUGUCAGGGGGGGUUGAAGCCCCCCCCAACCUCCAUCCCGAUCAGCUUCAUCUCCGGGGGUCCGGCUGGUGCGGCGGGGAAUAGGCAAAGUCCUGGCAGGAGGUCCCCUCUCACCACCAGUUUGCCUGUUCCCUGCUGUGCCAACCGCCAAGCGGGGUUCCGACACCCCCAAAAAAUCCAGAAUUUGCCUUAAAACCCAAGCGUCCCGCCAGCCAGAGAGAGAGAAACGUACACCCCCAGCCCCCCUGAGGCUGAGGACUGACGCAGGUCGUGACACCGAUGGGCGGGUGGCACCGCGGGUCACUGCUGCUUUGUGAUGAAGAAACGUUGUCGUCAGCAUUUUUCUUAAUUUUGAAUUUUUUUUUUUUUUUAUGGUGUCCAGAAAUAUCAGUGGGGGGUGUCAUGUCCCACUGGGGUCUCGGCCACCAGUGCGGUUUGUUGGGGGUCCCACAGGGCAGGGGAACAUCCUUGGGAGACUCUUCUUUAUGCAAGGUGCAGUAUUGAUUUCUGCAAGGACAAUGCAACGCAGGGAGCGGGAGGUUAGCGUCCAGUUGGGGGAAAAUGUAAAAAAAUAGAACUAAAAAAAAAAAAAAAAAAAAAAAANAGGGUUUUAAGGCUAGAAAAGGAUCAGCUCAAAGCAAAAAAAAAAAAAAUUUUCAAAAGCAUUUCUCAGUGGUGACCAGAGUGACAGCCAGCGGAGGGAGGGAGGAGGGGGCACCCGGGGCAGCCCCCCCCUGUCCAGCCCCCCCAGCGAGCGUGGGGUCUGGGGGGAGGCGAGGGGCGCUGGCGCCCCUCAGGCCUGGGCCCCCCUGCCCUGAGGAAGCCCCUGGAGCCCCUGGCCCCACGGGGGCACCGGCUGGGGUCCCCCCCCCCCCCCCCNNNNNNNNNNNNNNNNNNNNNNNNNNNNNNNNNNNNNNNNNNNNNNNNNNNNNNNNNNNNNNNNNNNNNNNNNNNNNNNNNNNNNNNNNNNNNNNNNNNNNNNNNNNNNNNNNCUGCCUUUACCCCCGGGGCCGGCAGCACGUCUGGCCAGGCUGCGGCCGCAGCCCCCCAAAACCCGCCCUCGGCAAGAAAAGCACCUUAAAACAUGUUAAAAAAAGGCAAAAAAUAAUCAACUCGACACCCCCUUCCCCCAGCCCGGCGGGCAGCAGCAGGGGGGGUCGUGCCCGGGGGUUUUCCUUGGGGGUCCGGGGAGCCCCCGCCACCCCUGGUGUCUUUGCACUGCUCCCCCCGACACCCACCACCCCGGGGCCGCAGCCCCCCCGGCUCUGCCCAAAGGGAAUAUGCAAACUCCCCCCCAGACACCUUCCUGGGGGGCACCGGCCGCGUGGGGACAGGGGGGACGACCACUAAUUUUUAUUGUUUUUAUUUUUUUAAUCGUUCUCCCUUUUUUUUUUUUUUUUUUUUUCCAANACAAUCACCGCGCCCGGGGCUCCCGCGGGGGUUUCAUGCACUACAGUCUCUCCUAGAGGGUUUUUAGUCGGGCUCGUCGGCUUAAAAGAAUUAAUUAAAAAUAGUCCUUGUGACCUAUAAAUAAAAAAAAUUAACCUGUACAUAUAUAUAUAUAUCUCUCUCCACAUAUAUAUAUAUGGGGCUGCAGGGGCCGGAGGUGGGCGCGGGUCCCUGCGGGCCGACACACAGUUAAGGUACUUUAAAGCGCAAAGGAAUAUAUAUAUAUAUAAAACCCUAUAUAUAUAUAUAUAUGUCUUGUUUGUUGUUGUUUUGUUUCGUUUUUUUUUUUUUUGUACUAUGAGUUUGGAAUUGCUGCUUUCUGUCCCCCAGCCUCCCGCCGCCGCCUGGGCCGGGCCGCACCCAUGGGUGCCCCCCCCGUGCAGCAGCACCCACGGGUGCCCCCCGUGCGAUGCCCGCAGGCGGGCGGGAGCGGAGGUGGAGACAGAGCUUGGACGGGGGCGGGGGGGGGGG